rnacentral:rRNA from 1 species
UACGGAGGGUGCAAGCGUUAUCCGGAUUCACUGGGUUUAAAGGGUGCGUAGGUGGGCUGGUAAGUCAGUGGUGAAAUCUCCGGGCUUAACCCGGAAACUGCCAUUGAUACUAUUGGUCUUGAAUUAUCUGGAGGUCAGCGGAAUAUGUCAUGUAGCGGUGAAAUGCUUAGAUAUGACAUAGAACACCAAUUGCGAAGGCAGCUGGCUACAGGUUGAUUGACACUGAGGCACGAAAGCGUGGGGAUCAAACAGG